AGACAAGGAAUGUGCAAUUUACAUACUGUAGACUUGAAAACUGGUUCCUCGUUACAAAUAAUAUACAUUUACAAAAACUAAAAUAGAGAUAGCUUACUUGUUAGCCCUCCCAGAAAAUUAUUCUGUACUAAUACUCCUGAGAUGGCAAAAUGGGUGUUUCAGAUGUGUUUAUGUGACUUAAGGAGCAGAAGUCAAUUGUCAGUGGGGAUGUGUGCUCCUAAAUCACUUAGACAUAUUUAUACUGCCCACUACUGGCAGCAGCAUGUAAGGCAUGAUUAGCUACCUGCCAUAUUGAAAGGCAAGUUGUGCCCUCAGUGUGGUGUGUAGCUGUAUGAAUCAGUGCAAGGGCAUAGAGGCAGCAGGGAAAGGCUCUGGCAGCAGGAGACUAUGCUCCUAAAAAAUAGCAAUGUAGAUGGGAAAGGCACUGCUCGGUCAUGCAGAGAGUUAUGCAUUUAUCCACAAGGUUCAAGCAAGUCUUGACUCUACUCGCCAAAGCAGUGCCUCACCAUUAUUUAUACACUAGAUAGGGAUGUGUUGUAUAUGUGCUGCACACACUGCUGUAAGGAGUGAGCUUUGUAGACACAUUUGAAAACUCCACCCAGUCGUUUUAAGAACAACCUCUGUUAUUCCAUCUUAAUUAUAUAUACACGUUUUUCCUUUUGGAAUCAUUUUUUGCUUUCCUGGAAAUAUUUCAGGAUGCUAGUUUAAACUAAGAGAACAAAACAGAAGUUGCAAAAGAUAAAUUCCGAGCACUAAAGAAAUGCAAAUACAUCAUUAUAACAGUACAGUGGGCGAUCCCUCCUUACACCACCUUAUGACAGAGAAAAAACAUCUUGACACAAAAGAUGCCAGGAAACUAAAAACUGGCAUAUUUAAAAAAGAAAAUAAAAUCAGACAAAGAAAUAAACAAAUUAAAAUAAAGCAAAAGAUAAGGGAAACAAAAUAAUGAAAUCAUAAUGAACAGGAGAGGAGAAACAAGGCAGAGAGAUUUCGUGACUUUUUUCGAAUUCACAGGGAACAUGUAGCAAAGCCAUGAACAGAACUCAGGUUUUCUGAUGCUCAGUGCCUUACUCUGUAAUAGAGUAAUGCUGUGCCCACGAAAGUUCAUGAUCUCAUCUACAUGUUUUGUUAGUCUUUAAAGUACUACCAGACUAUUCGUUGUUUUUUAAAGUCUAACAAUAAAAUUAUCCUUCCUUAAAGUUAUAGAUACAAAGCAAGGAAAAACAGGUGAACCGCACAAUUUCACAGCAUACAUAGCAAAAAUGUAGUGCAAAAAAGUUAAUGGCAAAACAAAAGGCAAAUUUU